rnacentral:rRNA from 1 species
AGCAGCCGCGGUAAUUCCAGCUCCAAUAGCGUAUAUUAAAGUUGUUGCAGUUAAAAAGCUCGUAGUUGAAUUUUGGAUUCUUCCAAUUGGUCCAUCUUUUAGAUGAGUACUGGUUGUGUGGGGUCUAUCCGCCUGGUGAUACGUAAUGUCCUUUAUUGGAUGUUGCGGGUAGUCAGGACCUUUACCUUGAAAAAUUAGAGUGUUUAAAGCAGGCUUAUGCCGGAAUACAUUAGCAUGGAAUAAUAGAAUAGGACGAAGUUGUUUUAUUUUGUUGGUUUCUAGGACAACCGUAAUGAUUAAUAGGGAUAGUUGGGGGCAUUAGUAUUCAAUUGUCAGAGGUGAAAUUCUUGGAUUUAUUGAAGACUAACUACUGCGAAAGCAUUUGCCAAGGAUGUUUUCAUUAAUCAAGAACGAAAGUUAGGGGAUCGAAGACGAUCAGAUACCGUCGUAGUCUUAACCAUAAACUAUGCCGACUAGGGAUCGGGCGAUGUUGUUUCCAUGACUCGCUCGGCACCUUAUA